rnacentral:SRP_RNA from 1 species
CCGUGCUAGACGGGGAGGUAGCGGUGCCCUGAACCCGCAAUCCGCUAGAGCGGGGUUGAAUCCCUGUCCGCGGUUUCGUCUCUUCAGGGUUAGCACCGGGCAAGUAGUGACGAGGGCCUGGUCCCGUGCGGCGCAAGCUUAUGAACCCCGUCAGGUCCGGGAGGAAGCAGCGGUAAGUAAGUCCUUGCGGGUGCCACGGGGGCGCCGGGCCGGAGCCAACUACCCGGCCGGCACUUGGGGAGCGGAAACAAAGACAGGUGCACGG